AUGCCAAAACCCGGCCCGGCCCGGCGUGACCCUCCCCCAACUCGGAGGGGGGAGGUACAGGCCGCAUUAGGCAAAAGAGCAGCGCUUGGCCCCCACCGCGGGGGCCAGCGCACCCCUCGCGCGAGGGCGGCUCUUGCCCACACGCUGUGGCAAGUAGCACCGGCAGCUACUGCCUUGCACACUUCAGAGGGGCGGCGGCUGGGGGGUCCAGGUACCCCAAGGCCCCCCUCUCAGAUCGCUAGAGAAGGCUUUCUCACCGAGGGCGCGUCGUGCCCCCCACACCAUCGUUCGCCCCUUCGGGGACCCACGGGAGUGGGAACACUCCCAAAAAGUGGGAAGUCAGAAGGGGGGGGGCUGCUCGUGGGGCACGCCACCACCACAGUGGGGACCCGAGGGGACUCACCGCUGGGAGAGGAAAACGACACCACCGCUCGGCCUCGGGCAUCUGACAGGCAACCCGGAGUACUCCAGGGGCACCACAGAGGACCAGGGGAGGCACGCUCACGCACCCGCAGGGAUGCGAAGCAUGGCAGCGAGGGAGGCCUCCCCCCCACUUUGGGGAGGGACCGCUCGCAAGGCACACGCCAAGGCGGCAAAGCGAGAAUGCCUGCUGCGUCCCAAAGGACCCAGGCCCCCCCCCCCUGACUGACACCCGAAGGCAGCAGGGCGGGAGACCAGAGGUCAGGCUGGAGGCCGCACCCCUGCCUUCCCCCACACCACCCGCAGGUGGGGGGAGGAGCAGCGAGGGGCCCGCGACAGAAUGAGAGGCGCGGCCCAGCUCACCAUGAGCGGCCGUCCCUCAUCUGGCGCGGCUUAAGCCCAAGCCCAGGAGAGCGCCACAUCACCACAUCGAUCAGUCCUGGCAGAGCCAGGGAAGAGCCCAGAAGAGGGGAGGGAGGGCCAGCAAAGACAAUCACCACGGGGGCCUGCUUCAGCUUCACCGGCACCCCCUCCUCCUCCUCCCCUUCCUCUCUCAGGGGAGAGACAGCGGCUGACAACCCCGGGAGGGAGAACGCCUGACACGUGGCACGGAGCCAACAGGGUGGGGUUGUCCCAGCCGAGCCGCCGGGUGCCCGCAGCAGGGAGGCACACAGGGUAGAAGACCCCACAGGGCCACGCGCCCUGCCGCCCUCGGGUCAGCCAGAGACCGGAGGAGACACCGCAGCACGGGCCAGCUGGAUGCACAAGUGAGAGCCGGCGCACAGGCCCAGGCGAGCGGCCCCCACGCGGGGUGCAAAGGGCAGGGUCAGGCCUUGGACAGCAGCCGAAAGCCCAAAGCCCCCCACGUGCAUCCAGAGGCCCAAGGUCUCCAGCGACAGGCGCUGAAGAGGAUCGUGUCAGCAUCUACCUGGUGACAGAAAAGGCGUAUUUCGGCCGCGAAAAAUGUCCAUGCCCAGCAGCGGGGCCCACCCACAGGACGUGGGGGUAUCCCCGGAACCCCCAUCCGGACACUUGUCCCCCAGCCCUGCCCUAGAGUCGCCAGACCCAGCGCUCUCAGAGCCAUCUGGUCGACCCGGGGAGCGUGACCGCAGGGAAGGGACAGGGACAUGAAGGAGGUGGAGCCGGCCGGCCAGCCGGGGAAGCCCUUCCCGGCUUGCCCACGCGGGCAGGUAUCGGUCUGUCCGGAGCUCCAGACGGGGACUUGGCUCCCCAAAAUCCAGGACACACCAUCCAGCUCAGGCCGGUCCCACCUCCCGACCGAUCGACCGACCGACAGGGAAACACUCCGAGGGCGGGGGCGGGAAAUGAGAGCGUGGGAAACGAAGUCUUGUCCAACGACCGGGACCCUACAUGGGCACGCCUCAGGCCCAGGUGCACCCUUCCCGGCCACACCCGGGAGCAGGGGGCCGGCGGGUACCGUCCACCGUCUCCGGAUCCAUCAGGACUUGGAAAAAAAAAUGUUUCCACGGAGGCGCCUCCGACGAACGGACCCCGCGAAGGAAGGCGCCGGGGCCCGAGCCACCCUUUCCGCUCCACCCCUCACGUCUUGUGCCGGUCUAGACCUCGUGAGUACGACUCCGCACGGGCCGGCGGUAGCCAUCAGUCGGGGGGCAGGCGGGGAGGGGCCCAUGCCGGCAUGACGACCGGGAAACAAGCGUGCCGGCCACCGAGCCUGUCGCGCCCUCCAACGCCCUCAGCGCACAACCCGGGCCGCUCCUCACUUCGGGGAUGAGAGGCUGGAGGGACCGCAGGCGGGAGUCAUUCACGCUCCAAAGGGCGACCCGGGACAAGGCCAGGCCACCCGAGCACAGGCAGUCCCGGGCGCCGCACACCCUCUCCCCUCGCUAGGGAGGCGGCCCGGCCCAGGCCUGGUCGGUCCCCGGGGCCGGAGCGGCAAGAGCGGAUGCUGGUCGACCCGGCCAGGCGGCCCCAGAGCCUGCCUGGGGAGCGCGGUGACAGUCACUCCCUCACAGGCCUGCAGGCCCAAUCUCCGGUGAGAGAGGGACACUCCCAGGCCUCUGAGCCACCGGAGCUGUCGCCGCCAGUGUCGCCAGCCUCCCGGAACUCUGACUCAGGCCGGAUGGCUGAGUCACAUCCCUCGCGAAGGUCCCCAAAGCUGCAGAGGGAAGGGACGAUAUAAAAGCGGACACUAGAUGGCACGCGACAACCGCCACCAACGUCACCGGGACAGAUCCGGAAGGCCGGCCGGCCGGCGGCGACACAACGACACAGCGCCGGCCACCCAAAUGCCCGAGCUCUUCCCGGGGCCGAGGCGCCAGGCGUCCUGCACGACCGCGAAGCUUGCCUCGCGGAGCUGCCUCCUGGCAAGGCACUGCGUGGCGUGAUGGCAGCAGAUGGAAAGAGGGGGGCGUCGGCGGCGGCGGCGGCGGCGGCGGCGGCGGCGGGGAAGGAGCUGGGAAGAGGUUCUCGCUGUUGCCUAGAAGGAGCCGCGCUCGCUCCCCCAAGCAUGUCCCUUCCUGGGCUUGGGAAUUCCAGAGAGAAGCCGGCGCGGUGAGGGUGGCACUAGCGAGAGAGAUCUCAGGUUCCCCUCCACCUUCUCUUCUCUCCCCCACCCCCACCCCACCUCCCUGCACGGAGCUGGAGGAGGGAGGGAGAGAGGGAGGGUGGGAGGGUAGGCGGGGACUGGCAAAAACGAAACCGGGCAAGCUCUCGGAGAACGACAACGCAGGAGUCGGUUUACCUGCCACCCUUACCGACGGAGACGGUCUGUCAAAAGCAGACAAGCAAAGCCCAGAAGCUUAGGAAGGGAGAGAAGGAUACAGUCGAUCCUAGGAAAGUGGAAAUGAAAAUCUCUCUCUGCAUAGACUGAGACAAAGUCCAAAGAGAACAAAUGGCUGCCUGGGGCAAAUGCUCUGGUGGUCAGGUCAUAGAAACAUGGAUUUCAGCAUGACUGACCAACCACAAUGGAGGGAAAGUACAACGCAACACUAUGAGUGUGUGUGUGUGUUGGGGGGGGGGGUGAACUGAAAUCUCAUCCAAAACAAAACAAAACAAAACAAAAAAAGGAAAACAACCCCCCCAAAAAAACCCAAAAAACAACAACAGAAGAAGAAGAAGAAGAAGGAAGCCCACGACCAACAGGGUCAAGGCUCCUGCUUUCUCAACGCGGUGGCUCUGGUUGCCCCUGUGUGGUGCAGGUUCCAUCUCUGCCUCAGGAAAAACUUCCACUUGCUGCCCGUGGGUGUGGCCAAAAAGUAAAACAUAAAGCUGAAACGGGAGGGAGAGGGGUGGAGAAAACCCGAAACAAACAAUAAACUUUGCAAGUCUCAGGAUUGCCA
rnacentral:lncRNA from 1 species